AAAUCCAAAAAUUGGUCCCAACUCGGUAGGCACUUUAUUUUGUUCACUCAGAGCGUGUCCUUUCCCGUUCCCGCCCAGUUCCAUUUCGCUCUAACUCCACCAUGGGAAAUUCGUCCAAGGACGAUUCCGCCACCUCUGCCGACGCUUCCGCUGGCGACGUUCAGCCGUCCAAUUCCGGCGUCUACUCAGAGGGCGAGAAAGUGCUCGCCUAUCAUGGUCCUCGCAUCUACGAAGCCAAGGUGCAAAAAACUGAGAUCAGAAAGAGUGAAUGGAAAUACUUUGUUCACUACCUUGGCUGGAGUAAAAAUUGGGAUGAAUGGGUAGGUGAGGACCGAUUAAUGAAACAUACAGAAGAGAAUGUAAUGAAACAGUUGGCCCUAGACAAAAAGCAAAAUGUGGACAAGAAUGUUAAGUCUGGGCGUUCAACACAAGCAAAGGGCAAACCGUCUACAGAUGUCAAAGUGGAUAAAGAGGAUGUCAAGAACAAUGUGUCUAAAGGGAAGAAACGAAAGCAAGAUGCUGGAGCUGAGAAGGGCAGCGGGUCUGUUGAAAAGCUUGUCAAGAUUCAAAUUCCUGCAACAUUGAAGAAACAACUUGUUGAUGAUUGGGACUCUGUGACUCAGCAGGAUAAGCUUGUAAAACUUCCUCGUUCACCAACUGUUGAUGAAAUUCUGACAAAGUACCUUGAAUACAAAUCAAAGAAGGAUGGCAUGGCUCCCGAUUCAAUAGGAGAAAUUUUGAAAGGAAUAAGGUGUUAUUUUGAUAAAGCAUUGCCUAUGAUGCUCUUGUACAAAAAAGAACGCAAGCAAUAUAAUGAUGCUAUUGUGGAUAAUGUAUCUCCCUCAACCAUUUAUGGAGCUGAGCAUUUAUUGCGCCUGUUUGUUAAGUUACCUGAGCUUUUGACUUAUGUAACUAUUGAGGAGGAAACAUUGAAUCGCUUGCAACAGAAAUUACUCGACUUUCUCAAGUUUUUGCAGAAAAAUCAAAGUACUUUCUUUCUCUCAGCGUACGAGGGCACCAAAGUCUCUGAAGGAAAAGGAAAGGUGAAUGAUGAAUGAGAAGAAACGUUGAGUCCGUGGUCAUCAUGUUGUAUUCUUAAUUCUUAUAAACAAUAUCAUAUUUCCCUUGAAAAAUUUAGGGAAGAAACUCAAUUGUUGUUGUCUGGGAGGAGGGAUGAGCCGAGAAGGAUCUCAUGCAUGCAUGUAUCUGGCCUGGAAGUUGGUUGGGCUAUCCCCCUGU